UACGUAGGGUGCAAGCGUUGUCCGGAAUUAUUGGGCGUAAAGAGCUCGUAGGCGGUCUGUCGCGUCGGAUGUGAAAAUCCAGGGCUCAACCCUGGACCUGCAUUCGAUACGGGCAGACUAGAGUUCGGUAGGGGAGACUGGAAUUCCUGGUGUAGCGGUGAAAUGCGCAGAUAUCAGGAGGAACACCGGUGGCGAAGGCGGGUCUCUGGGCCGAAACUGACGCUGAGGCGCGAAAGCCAGGGGAGCAAACGGG
rnacentral:rRNA from 1 species